GAAAUGUAUAAAUGACAAUAUUACUUUACAAAGAUAAGAAUAUUAUUAUUAUUAAAUAUAAAUCAUUUUAGGUUCAUAGACUGACAACGCUUGCGGAAGACAAUUAUAGCAAAAUACGAUUGGGACCCAAGGAUGAUGCUUGAAAAUUAACGCUUCGCAAGAGAGGUUAAUGAUUGUAGGAGGACGACGGAUACUUUUGGACUGAACCGAGAAUACGAAAAAGAAUAGCAUAAUAAUAUAAUAGUACGAUAUAGCAAUUCGAUUUAUGUUUAUUUUAC
rnacentral:lncRNA from 1 species